rnacentral:tRNA from 1 species
GCCUCGAUAGCUUAGUGGUAAAGCGCUUGCCUCGUAAGCAGGAGAUCGUGGGUUCAAUCCCCACUCGAGGCU